CUGGGUUCAGGACCUCGCGUCCACUCACCCGCCCUUUGUCAUGAGACGCGCAAGCAACUCACAUCAUUUCGGCUCCUGGCUCUUGGGUACCCCCGCUGUUAAUUUGGCGGGGUACUACCUGUUAGUCGCGGGUCGGCAUUGCAAACCCACGCGGAUUACUGAAGUCUGAUACAAAUUUUAAACGAAAUUA
rnacentral:misc_RNA from 1 species